rfam:Myotis brandtii contig187463, whole genome shotgun sequence.
GGCGCUUCUCGGGUGAUGCAUCCCAGAAUCGGGCUCCUUCCUCUCUGGUUCUGGGUGUGUCACUUGAGCUGCC